rnacentral:rRNA from 1 species
CAGUCGCCACGGGAAUACCAGCAGCCCAAGUGGUGGUCGCGAUUAUUGGGCCUAAAGCGCUCGUAGCCGGGCCGGUAAGUCCCUUGUGAAAUCGGACGGCCUAACCGUUCGGCGUGCAAGGGAUACUGUCGGUCUUGAGGCCGGGAGACGUCCGAGGUACUCCGGGGGUAGCGGUGAAAUGUUCUGAUCCUCGGGGGACCACCGGUGGCGAAGGCGUUCGACGAGAACGGGCCUGACGGUGAGGGGCGAAGGCUAGGGGAGCAAACGGGAUUAGAUACCCCCGUAGUCCCUGUCUCUUAUU